rnacentral:rRNA from 1 species
GAUGAACGCUAGCUACAGGCUUAAACACAUGCAAGUCGAGGGGAAACGACAUUGGAAGCUUGCUUCCUUUGGGCGUCGACCGGCGCACGGGUGAGUAACGCGUAUCCAACCUUCCCGCAAGUAAGGGAUAACCCGUAGAAAUGCGGCCUAAUACCUUAUGUUUUCCUUAGAGGGCAUCUGAUGAGGAACAAAGAUCCGUCGCUUGCGGAUGGGGAUGCGUCUGAUUAGUUAGUCGGCGGGGUAACGGCCCACCGAGACGACGAUCAGUAGGGGUUCUGAGAGGAAAGUCCCCCCACAUUGGAACUGAGACACGGUCCAAACUCCUACGGGA